UUAAAAAACUUUUUAGGUCACAACCUAUCUGUAAAUAUGACACACCAGUAUGGAAAUCCUUAUUCUUCUCACAGCCACCAGCUAUUGGCCCAUCCACUGACUAUCCCAAUUCCACCUGCCUUAUCAGUGGAAAGGUGAAAUGUAUGCCCACUUUUUCCUCACACCAUUCCCCUUUCUAUCAAAAACUACCAAGAGAAACCCAGGACCUACCAAAAUAGUUAAGAUGUGCUCCACUGUGUCUACUGCCAGCCAAACCUGUUGAAGGCUGGCUCAACCCUAAUCUGUGCCUUCCUGUCUUCUCACAAACGUAGUCUGAUUUGCUGGCUAGAUUUCUAGUAACAGCCACAGAGCAGAAAUGUGUCCCUUCCCAAUAUGUCACAUAAUCCCCAAGAGCCUCAGGCCAGAAGUCCACAACAUGUAACUAGUUCAAAGGAUAAAAUUUUUCUCUGCAUUAAUUCUAACAUGAGGAAUACUGAAAACUCUUUUAAACAUCUGAAGAAUUUCAGCAAUUCACAAUUCACCUUACUGGAGUGUUACACUGUCAUCCAGAUUUAGAAACAGGAGGAUAUAAAACUAUUAAAUGGAAAAGC
rnacentral:lncRNA from 1 species